rnacentral:rRNA from 1 species
AAUGAACGUUGGCGGCGUGGAUUAGGCAUGCGAGUCGUGCGAGAACCGUAGCAAUACGGGGACAGCGGCGAAAGGGAGAGGAACACGUGGGUACCUACCCUCGGAUUCAGGAUAGCCAUGGGAAACUAUGGGUAAUACUGAAUAACGUCUCCGGACCAAAGGUGUGAUUCCGUCCGGGGAGGGGCCCGCGUCCUAUUAGCUAGUUGGCGAGGUAACGGCUCACCAAGGCGAAGAUGGGUACGAGAUGUGAGAGCAUAAUCUCGCUCAUUGGGACUGAGACACUGCCCAGACACCUACGGGUGGCUGCAGUCGAGAAACUUCGGCAAUGGGGGAAACCCUGACCGAGCGACGCCGCGUGUGAGAUGAAGGCCUUCGGGUUGUAAAUCACUGUCGUAGGGGAGGAAAUACUGGUGGGUUCUCCCAUCAGCUUGACCUAUCCUAGGAGGAAGGACGGGCUAAGUUCGUGCCAGCAGCCGCCGUAA